UCUUUCAACGAAGCUCUUCAAUGGCGGCCAUAUUGUGAAGAAUUUCUUGAGUGACCGGCAUGAUGUGAGCAGGCUCUGGUUUGGCAGACCGGAAGAGAGUCGUG